CAAUAGCGUAUAUUAAAGUUGUUGCAGUUAAAAAGCUCGUAGUUGGAUUUUGAGUUUGGUAAGCUCGGUCUGCUAUUUAGCAGUACUGACUUGCCGGCUCUUCUUCUCGAGGCCUAUGGGUGCACUUAACCGUGUGUUCAUAGUGUUCGGGACUUUUACCGUGAGAAAAUUAGAGUGCUCAUAGCAGGCUUUUGCUUGAAUAUUGCAGCAUGGAAUAAUGGAAUAGGAUCAUGAUCUUAUUUUGUUGGUUUCUAAGAUCAAGAUAAUGAUUAAUAGGGAUAGUUGGGGGCGUUAAUAUUUAGUUGUCAGAGGUGAAAUUCUUAGAUUUACAAAAGAUUAACUUCUGCGAAAGCAUUCGCCAAGGAUGUUUUCGUUAA
rnacentral:rRNA from 1 species